AGAGGWAGGAGAAGUCGUAACAAGGUUUCCGUAGGUGAACCUGCGGAAGGAUCAUUGUCGAAACCUGCCCAGCAGAACGACCCGUGAACUCUUUAAAACACCGGAGGGUGCGUGCCUCGAGUGCGCUCCCCUCCUUUCUUCAUCAGGCGCGGGCUUGCGCUCGUGCUUGUUGCGGAACAACCAACCCCGGGCGCAGCAUGCGCCAAGGAAAACUAACAAAGAGGGCACGAUCUCAGGGUGUGCUUGGGAUGCGGUGCCUUCUCUCAAAUUAUCUAAAACGACUCUCGGCAACGGAUAUCUCGGCUCUCGCAUCGAUGAGAACGCA
rnacentral:misc_RNA from 1 species